GUUUCCCUUCAAUUUCAUGCUAAAAAUAGUUUAUAUAGAACUUUAGGGCUAUUUUUUUUAUCUCAUUAUUUUGAAGGAGACAACAAACUGCGUGGAAAAGAGGAAAAAACAACAACAAGAGAGUACCCAAUCCUCGUGAAGUGAUAAGACUGAAGUCAUUGGAGGCUAUUUGAUUGGUGUUCUAUGAAUUGCAAAGUUGGUGAACUUGUCAUUAGCGAGGUAAGUGAGACUUUAAGCUUUGGUAUUUGCUUUUCAAACAUGAUUUAUAAGACAAUGUAUUUUUCUGCCUUGUCCAUGUGUUGGGACAGGCGUGUGCUUGAUAGAAUUGAUGGUCUUUGAUCAACCACGGAUAUGUAUUUGUUAAGUAUAUUGAGAAUCAUUUAAUGGGUAGUUGUGAGGUGAUGUUGGGAUUUUGAAUAUAUUUACUAGGAGAGUACUUGUGCCGUAAUAUGUUAGGGGCAUAUCUAUGUUGCCUUUAAUAUGUUAGGGGCCUAGCACUUGUUGUCAUGAUAUAUUUACUAAGGGCAUACAUGUGCUGUUGUAAUAUGUUAGGGGCAUACCUAUGCCGCCGUAAUAUGUUAAGGGCCUUGUAGUUGCUGCCGUAGUAUACUUUUGGGGCAUUAUAUGUGCUACCGUUGCCUUGUCGGGGUGCUAGGAUGAUCACCUACACUACCGUUUAUGACAAGACGUGAGAGUGGAUUGAGUUGAGAGAUACAUAAUGACUUUUGAAACAUUUGUUGGACCUUAUUGAGCAUUAUAUUAUAAGAUAUAUGUUGUACAUAUCGUUUAUUUGGUCUUUGUGGUUUGUAUAUUCUAACACUUAUUUCAGGAUAUUAAAGUAGCGAGUCGAGGAUCUUACUGGGUUGUAUUUAUAUAUAGCCCACUCCUUACUUGCAUGUCUAUGCAAAUAAUGUUGUGGAGGCUGAGACUACGGGCCGAAAAGUUCGUUGUGUAAAUUCUGUUGCUGAGGUGAGCCUCCACAUUAUUCGUGGAGGCUAUCAUUU